CUUUCUUAGCCAGUGUUGCUUGUAACGAGUUCCCUGCAGCUCAGGGAAGGGAGCAACAUGUACUGCUUUGUUGCUUCCUGUAUAGAGAAGGCAGGAAUGAGGAAGUUCAGAGAACACUGUCCUGAGCAGCUGCCACAGGAGACCCAGCCCAAGCUCUGCAUGCAGAAAGGCACAUGGCAAGAAAUUCCCAUCCUGCACACGUGGAUGUGAUGGACACCCUCACUCCUUAAAUUUUGAGGCAACUAGACUGAAAAGGGCUCUUGCUUGAUUUAAACAAUUGAACUCUUCCUUUUGGCUCAGGCAUCUUGUUGCUUCUUGCACUGGCUUUGCCACUGACCUUGGAGAGCCGGUCAAAGUCUUGGAGGUGGAAACGAACUGCCAACUGA
rnacentral:lncRNA from 1 species